ensembl:lincRNA
AGCCGCCCGCCGCCGCCUCAGGGAAGAGGAAGGAGGCCGCAGCUUCGCUCCCCGCCUCUCGCUUGGCGGGCCUGAGAGCGGAGGGGGCGGGCCAUGGGGGGUCUGGACGCAGUCACGGUGUCCUCCCCGCAGUCCUCCCGAGUCUCCGAGGAAUGCUAAUGUCACCCGAGGAUGCUGGGCGAAGCGCUGAGCCGACCUUUCCGUUAGGCUAAAGCUCUGAAUUUUCAAACCCAGGAAUCACAGGGUCCGGGCCAUCGACUUUGCUAAAUAAUGCCUGGAAACCUGUUGCAGUCUCCUUUGAGAAAGCUGGUUUUAUGGUACCUGAAGGGCACUGGCCGUGCAAGGCCCCUAAACCGGGUCACAGAUGUGGGAGAGACUAACUCGGGUGGCUCUCGCUCUUCUGGCCUUUCCCUGAGGCUCGGUCGGGACCAGGAACGAGGUUCCAAGUAGCUGGAUUCAAAGUAUUCUGUUCUGAGGACUGGCAGUGCACAAGGAAGUCCCCGGCCCCACCCGUAUGCGGCAUAAGGAAAUGUUGAAAAGACUGCCCGGGUCAAUAAACCUGGACGUGGCAAAUUUCAAAGGCAGUAAUUCAAACACAGGUGGGGUCCCGGCUUUUAUUUAUUGGAUUUCGCCACCAUUUGGCAGCUGCUCGUUGGACAGGGAGAGGGAUGGAGGUGACUCAGAGGCGGGAGGACAGCAGAUUGCACAAACCACGAUAAUGGCCAGCAUAGAUGGAGGGAGCAUCUGAGUUGUGCGGCGCACUGUGCUACAUCUCAGCUAACUCUAGGAGGGCACCAUUUUGACUGUUUCAUGACCUCUGGCAAUGGGAUUCCUGGAGCUGUUUGAAGAUAUCUCAACACGAGAAGACAAUGCCUGCCACAUGGUGUGGCUGUGUGCUGCCAUCCAGCUUCUGUCAGGGCACGUGUAAGACACAGGUCCACCAGGGCACAGACUGAUGUGAACAAGGUGGGUCCUGGGGCGCCGAAAGCUUCCUCCCUUUGGUUCCAUUUUGCUGCCUUUUCUUCCCUCCCUUCAUCUUCUCUUUGGCUCUCUUCAAUAUUUCUUCAUCUUAUUCCUUCUUUUUCCUUCUUUUCUCUCGGCACCAAGUCACCUCUUUCCUAUCUCUGGUGUGGGAAAGCUGUUCUGUAGCCAUUUCUCAAAUUCUCUGGGGGUGGUAGGCCAGAGCUCUCAGCUGCUGUAGGGUAUCCAUCAAACUGUGCUCUACUUAACACAGAACACAUCCAAACAGUGUCUAGACUUAGCCCUUGUUUGACGUGGGGCAGAGGAGUGCCAAGGGAAAUAGCUUGAACUCUGUCUAUAGUUGGGGAGUAGAUAUGCUCAAGCAAAGCAAAUGGGAUGUGUGUGGGGAGGACAUUACCAGCUGAAGGCAGAAGGUAGAGAUGGACCUGAACUUCUGAAAAUCUUUCUGCUAUGCCAGGCUCCCCAGAACCUCAUAAAACUUGCCUCUAUUCUCACUACACAAAGCUAAAAUGGAUGACCAGAAAGUAGAUAGGAGGAUCAAAAUUCUACAUUGCUUCAUUAGGCAAGAAUGACAAACUAGAGUCAAUAAGGUAAAAUGGAACAUCAACAAUUCCAAAUUCCUGUAUCCAGGUGAAAAUAACCAAUUGCAGUAGUAUGAUAAAGACCUAACAUUAUUCAUAUCCAAACGAACUGGGGCUGCCAAAAGUUUAGCCCAAGCCAAUAACGAAU